rnacentral:rRNA from 1 species
UAAUACGUAGGGGGCGAGCGUUGUCCGGAUUCAUUGGGCGUAAAGCGCUUUAAGGCGGUUCGCUAAGUCGCGUGUGAAACCUCCAGGCUCAACCUGGAGACGCCACGCGAUACUGGCGUGACUAGAGUUCGGUAGGGGAUCACGGAAUUCCUGGUGUAGCGGUGAAAUGCGCAGAUAUCAGGAGGAACACCGGUGGCGAAGGCGGUGAUCUGGGCCGACACUGACGCUGUAGAGCGAAAGCGUGGGGAGCGAACAGGAUUAGAUACCCUGGUAGUCCACGCCGUAAACGUUGGGCACUAGGUGUGGGGGAUUAUCAACGUCCUCCGUGCCGUAGCUAACGCAUUAAGUGCCCCGCCUGGGGAGUACGGCCGCAAGGCUA